CAAAUCAGCUUAUAGUUAUUGACCAUCAUUCAUCAUUAGAGAAAUGCUAAUCAAAACAAUAAUGACACACCAUUACAGAUACAUUAUACUAUUCAAAUCUGAAAGCUGGCAAGGAUAGGGUAUAACAUUUACUUCUCAGUCCUGCUGGUAGAAUUGCUGUAUGAAACAACCAUUGAUGGCAAGAAUUUUUAAACAAAAUUAUCCUUUAUAUUAUUACAAGAUCUAGCAAUUAGACUACUAAGCAUUUUAACCCACUGAUUUCAAAAUUUUUCUGUACAAAGCAAAAGAAAACUUUUCCUGUGAAUGCUUAUUCAGCUUGAUUUUAAUUGGAUAUUUACAUUAUAUUUAUUUAGAUAUUACGUAAAAAACAAGCCAUUCAUAAAAACUUUGGACAUAUCUUAUGCAUAUUGAAAAGUGAAAUAAACCAGUGUUAAAAUCAUGUACGAUAUGAUUCCAAGUUUAUGACAUUCAGGAAUAGACAAAACUAUGCAAGGGGGAGAGUUAGAGGGUUAAAUAGUAAACACUGUGUGUUUUGAAUUGUGAUGUAACUGUAGUGUAUGGUUCUAUAAGUGAUACAGACAUUAAGCAUUUGUCAAAACCUAUAGAACUUUAAAGAAAAGAGUAUAAGUAAACCUUAAUCUGUACUUUUCUUUUUUAAUUUGAGUUGGGGAGAGAAGAAAGCUCUUCUACCUGUUGGCCCAGUAUCUAAAUGCCCACAAAGCUGUAGUUGGACCAAACCAAAGGAAACAGAAGUAUUCAGAAUAACUGAAGAAAACUGACCCAGAUGAAGAGUAGAGAAGAACACAGCUUCCAAAGGCAGGAUAUGGAAAGCGGAAGAAUUUUUAUAUUGUCAGCUUCAGGGAUUAUAAUGGAAAGCUCUGCUAUGGCCUGGGAAAGCAGUAGAAGAUGGCCCAAGGCCUUGAGCCCCUCCACCUACAUGAGAGACCUUGAAGAAGCUCCUGUCCUCAGAUCGGUGCAGCUCCAGCCGUUGCAGACAAUUGGGGAGUGAACCAGCGGAUGGAAGACCUCUCUCUGUCUCUACCUCUCCUCUCUCUGUGUACAUCUUUCAAAUAAAAAUAAUUUUUUUAAAAAAAGAA